GAUGAACGCUAGCGGCAGGCCUAACACAUGCAAGUCGAGGGGCAGCACAGAAACAGCAAUGUUUUGGUGGCGACCGGCGGACGGGUGCGUAACGCGUAUGCAACCUACCUUUAACAGGGGGAUAACGGAGAGAAAUUUCCACUAAUACCCCAUAACAUCGAUCAAGGCAUCUUGAUUGGUUGAAAACUCCGGUGGUUAAAGAUGGGCAUGCGUUGUAUUAGGUAGUUGGUGAGGUAAUGGCUCACCAAGCCUACGAUACAUAGGGGGACUGAGAGGUUCGCCCCCCACACUAGUACUGAGACACGGACCAGACUCCUACGGGAGGCAGCAGUGAGGAAUAUUGGUCAAUGGGGGCAACCCUGAACCAGCCAUGCCGCGUGCAGGAAGACGGCUCUAUGAGUUGUAAACUGCUUUUAAACAGGGAUAAAGCACAGUAUGUAUACUGUGUUGAAGGUACUGUAAGAAUAAGGAUCGGCUAACUCCGUGCCAGCAGCCGCGGUAA
rnacentral:rRNA from 1 species